rnacentral:tRNA from 1 species
GCUCACAUGGCUCAGGGGUAGAGCGUUUCCUUGGUAAGGAAGAGGUCCCGGGUUCAAAUCCCGGUGUGAGCUCCA